rnacentral:piRNA from 1 species
UGGGAUGGGGUAACCAGGGUAGCCCGUGUC